UGGAGGAAAAGSUAGGGGAUCGCAAGACCUUGCGCUCUUGGAGCGGCCGAUGUCUGAUUAGCUAGUUGGUGAGGUAAAGGCUUACCAAGGCGACGAUCAGUAGCUGGUCUGAGAGGACGACCAGCCACACUGGGACUGAGACACGGCCCAGACUCCUACGGGAGGCAGCAGUGGGGAAUUUUGGACAAUGGGGGAAACCCUGAUCCAGCCAUGCCGCGUGAGUGAAGAAGGCCUUCGGGUUGUAAAGCUCUUUCAGCCGGAACGAAACGGUCACGGCUAAUACCUGUGACUACUGACGGUACCGGAAGAAGAAGCACCGGCUAACUACGUGCCAGCAGCCGCGGUAAUACGUAGGGUGCRAGCGUUAAUCGGAAUUACUGGGCGUAAAGCGUGCGCAGGCGGUUUUGUAAGUCAGAUGUGAAAUCCCCGGGCUUAACCUGGGAACUGCGUUUGAAACUACCAAAAGCUAGA
rnacentral:rRNA from 1 species